GGAUAUCUUGGUCCCUCGCAUCGAUGAAGAACGUAGCAAAUGCGAUACUUGGUGUGAAUUGCAGAAUCCCGUGAACCAUCGAGUUUUUGAACGCAAGUUGCGCCCUAAGCUCUCGGGCUGAGGGCAAGCCUGCN
rnacentral:rRNA from 1 species